AGUAAAGGAUAAUUUAUUCCGAGGUAAAUGUAUAGGUGAAGUUCAAUGUCUUAAAUGGAGUAAAGGAGAAUUUUUCCUGGUUAAAUGGAGCAAAGGAUAAUUGAUUAUGAGUUAAAUGUAGUAAAGGCGAAGUUCUGUGCAUUAAAUGGAGUAAAGGAGAAGUGUUGUGAGUUACAUGUAUUAAUGACUAAGUUCUCUGCGUUAAACGGAGUAAAGGAGUCGUCGUUUGCAUUAAAUGAAGUAAAGGCGAAUUUUUCUGCAUUAAAGGUGGCGAAGUUUUCCGAGUUAAAUGUCGUAAAGGCGAAGUUGUCUGCUUUAAAUAGAGUAAAGAAGUGUUUCCAGGUAAAUGCAGUAAUGGCGAAUUUGUCUGCAUUAAAGGGGAAGUUUUCCGAGUUAAAUGGAGUAAAGGCCAAGUUGUGUGCGUGAAAUGGAGUAAAGCAGAACUUCUUUUGAGUUAAAUGUAGUAAAGUCGAAGUUUUCUGUUGUGAGGAUUAAAGAAGUUGUUUGCAUUAGAGUAAAGGAGAAGUUUUCGGAGUUGAAUGUAGUAAAGGCGAAGUUCUUUGCAUUACGUGAAGUAAAGGUGAAUUUUUCUGCGUUAAAUGGAGUAAAGGUGAAGUUAUGUGCGUUAAAUUGAGUUUUUGGCGAGAAGAGAAAAUGUUAUGUUGAAAAAGUAAUGUAAAAGAAAAUUCCUAUUUUUUUUCAGGUGAAUGCGGUUGGAUCGUGCAAGAGGUUUGUAAUGGCCAAGUGGGUGUGAUGGCCAGCUGUUGUUGACGAGCGCCUCUGUUACCCUGGAUUGCGUCUUAUAGUAUUGUUUGUGCUCAGCAGAGCAUUGUAGAGUAUAUGAAAUAUAGGUGUAUUUGAGAA